rfam:Schistosoma haematobium scaffold1302_1, whole genome shotgun sequence.
AACUUUGUGGAUUCAUUUCGAGAUUUCACUAUAUAUCAAACCACAAGGACUGGUGAGACCCCCAUAAUAAGUGAAGUU